UUUUCCCAGUACCUAUGGAAGCGGAUGCCGCCUGUUAAAGUUCCAGAGCCAGGGAACCGUCGGUGUCCGCCCUUCUUUUGCCUCAGGACCAGGCCUCCGGUUAGAUGCCCUCUCGCCCGUUGGAGAAACCCUGGCAUCAAUUACUUAGGCGCGGGAAGUGGCCGCUUGUAGUCUUGGGACUACGACUCCCAGAAGGCCUAGGGGCCUUUCUUCUUUGCAUAUCGGUACCGCUAACCCCAUAGCUUCAUGGGAAAUGUAGUUCAAUAAUGACACUGCACACCCUCCCUGCUCCACCUUCUCUCAUCAAUCUGUGGGACUGGACGCCAAGAUCGGCGUGCUGGGGGCUGAUACUGAGGAUCUGAGAGAAGAAGCUGGGGCCUCGAUUCUCUUUCCUUACCUUUCCGUGUGAUUCUAGCAGCGACAGGGGGCUGCGGAUCUCAGCCUGCACCACCAUACCCCAGGACAUCACCUGGCCAAAGCCAGAUCCAGUGGUUGGUUCUGUGAGCUCAGGGGCACGCGUGGCUUGGCAGGCACGGCACCGACUGGCUUCCCCCAUGCCCAGCAGGGGUUUGGAUGCCCGCUGACUGGCAGAUUCUGCAGAGGAGGGGCCUCCUUCACUGUGACAGCCAACACGUGCUGUGCUUGUCUUUGUCUGUCCACAACACAGAAGAGGCGUGGAGGCUGUGGCAAGGGCUGUGGGGCGGACCAAGCUCCCCCGGCUUCGCCAGAGUCAGGCUGCUCGGCCUCGGGGAGUCUGUUUCCAUCUCUCAAGCUGAGGGGUUGACCUCCCUGCUGUAC